UUUUUUUUUUUUUUUUUUUUUUGGUCUUUUUGCUCUUUUCUAGGGCUGUACCCACGGCGUAUAGAGGUUCCUAGGCUAGGGGUCUAAUCGGAGCUGUAGCCGCCGGCCUACGCCAGAGCCACAGCAACACCAGAUCCGAGCUGCGUCUGUGACCUACACCACAACUCAUGGCAACGCCAGAUCCUUAACCCACUGAGCAAGGCCAGGGAUUGAACCCGAAACCUCAUGGUUCCUAAUCGGAUUUGUUAACCACUAAGCCACGACGGGAACUCCUGGAGUACGUUUUAAGCAUUAGCCUCCAGGUCAACAACAGAGAUGAAAGACAUACAAGGUGCUUCGUCAAAUUUAAGGUACUACCAGUUAUAAGACAGUCUUUUUGGCGGGGAGUGGCACACCUGUGGCAUAUGGAAGUUUCCGGGCCAAGGAUCAAACCCGAGCCACAGCAGAGACCCCAGCUGCUGCAGUGACAAGGCUGGAAUAAUUAAUCCGCUGUGCCAGAAGGGAACUCUGACACGGUCUUAUUUUACAUACCAUCGAGGAAAAAAAAAAAAAAGCUACCAAUUAUAAUUGUCAUGCCCCAUGGACUCCAGAAUACAAAAUCAUUUUAGAGAAGGUAAAUUUUGAAAAUCAAAACAAGUUAGAAUUGAAAUGCACUAUAUCCAUCUUCACAGAGCUGAAGUCAAAGAGGCCUGGGGUUGUGCUCGUUGACUGUGAGUGGCUUGCUCUGCUGUCUCAUUCAUCACAAACAGGCGGCGUGGGGACUAGCAUCCUGGAACUCACAACACAGGGGCUGGCAGAUGACCAGCCAGCCUUCCACCUUCCUGGGCUCCACCUGGCGCCCCCUCCAGGUGUGACAGGCUCUCAGGAGGUGUGUUCUGCCAAGUCUGGGGCUGGAAGUCUGGCCAGGGCAGAUUCCCACACAGCAAGCAGACACCUCUGCCCAGGUCCCCAGGAAACAGGAGGCUGGGGGCCCGAUCCCAGGGGAAACGAAAGCUAAACCCAAAUGUGCCACCCCUUCAGCCUCCGAGAAUUCAGGGAAUCCCAGUGUGGGUAGGUUUACCACUGCCAUCAGCCUCACCCAUCUGCGCAUCGGUUCAGCCACAAAAGUUGUUCUUACCAUUAGGAAAACUAUGCAAGGAGUUCCCGUCGUAGCUCAGGGGAAACGAAUCUGACUAGGAUCCAGAGGGUUAAGGAUCCGGCAUUGCCGUGAGCUAUGGUUGUUGGAAGGUCCAAAAAAAAAAAAAAAUAAGGUUGCAUAUCAGCAGUAUCAAGCCCAUAUCUAACCUUGCAAAGUUAGAUACACACAAAGCUGGCUGACAGUUGAUGUUAAAGCUAGUUCAAGGUAAAAGUCUGUUGCCCACUAUUUAUUUACCAGUCUCUGUCACCUGUGACCAGCUUUAAUGUCCUAUUGAUUUUCUCCUUAAGGCCUUAGAUCAAUCUUUGAUGCAUACUCACUAUUUGUAUGAGAAUUGUGUUUUUCACUUUUUGGAAAUUAUCUCUGAAGUUCAGGGCUAUCUGUUCUAAAAGACCGGACAACCGUGGGUCCUUGGUCUUGGGUGUGUACUUGGGGCAGGUGUGCUUAGCCCCUCUGGAGCGAACUUUUCGGUCUGCUCAAUUAUGAAAUAGAUCAAUGGAUUUCUAAUGCCUCUUCUGGCUCAAACUCCCGGUGAUUGCCAGCUGUCCCUCUCUGCCUUUCCGGAAUGUGGUGACCUAAGUAUUCUAGUCACAUUCACUUCCCUUUUACCACCUCCAGCUUCCUACCCAGCAGCUGAACAGCUGCCUGCACUGGGCUUGCUACAAGCCCUGGAGGAGAAAUAAUGACUCACUCUUUCUGGAAGUCAAUCUGAACGUAUAACAUAUCUACAACUUUAAUAUGCAAGCCAUCAAAUUCAGCACUUCUAAGUCUAGGAAUCUACCCAAAGAAACAAUCAGAUAAAUGUAAAAGAAAUGUUCUUGGGGGCCACAUUCAUAAUAAUGAACGAUGGAGAAAAGAUCAAGGGUUUAAUAACAGUGGACUGGUUAAAGUGUGGUCCAGAUACCAGAAUACUAUACAACCAUGAAAAUGGUGAUUCUGUUAUAUCUGUAUUGAUAGGUCAAUGUAUCAAAACAGAGUUCUGUUAUUCAGUGGGAAAAAAGUUGAAUGGAUUCUCUGAGCCCAUUUAUGUAAUAUGUUGAUCUAUGGAUUUAUGUAAUAGAAUAGAAUUAGAGAAAGUAAAAUUUUGGAUUCAUUGGCAUUGGGACAGGGUUCAUUUCCAGGUGGAGCAGUUAAAGAUGGGAAACUACAGAUGAGAGUCUCCUUUUUUUUGGCCACACCUGUGGUAUGUGGGAGUUCCCAGGCCAGGGAUCAAACUUGUGCCAAAGCAGCGACAACAUCAGAUCCUUAACCCCUUAGCCACAAGGGAACUCCUUUUUAUUUACCUUUAAAAA
ensembl:lncRNA